GAUGAACGCUGGCGGCGUGCCUAAUACAUGCAAGUCGAGCGAAUGGAUUAAGAGCUUGCUCUUAUGAAGUUAGCGGCGGACGGGUGAGUAACACGUGGGUAACCUGCCCAUAAGACUGGGAUAACUCCGGGAAACCGGGGCUAAUACCGGAUAACAUUUUGAACCGCAUGGUUCGAAAUUGAAAGGCGGCUUCGGCUGUCACUUAUGGAUGGACCCGCGUCGCAUUAGCUAGUUGGUGAGGUAACGGCUCACCAAGGCAACGAUGCGUAGCCGACCUGCGAGGGUGAUCGGCCACACUGGGACUGAGACACGGCCCAGACUCCUACGGGAGGCAGCAGUAGGGAAUCUUCCGCAAUGGACGAAAGUCUGACGGAGCAACGCCGCGUGAGUGAUGAAGGCUUUCGGGUCGUAAAACUCUGUUGUUAGGGAAGAACAAGUGCUAGUUGAAUAAGCUGGCACCUUGACGGUACCUAACCAGAAAGUCACGGCUAACUACGUGCCAGCAGCCGCCGCAG
rnacentral:rRNA from 1 species